rnacentral:rRNA from 1 species
CGGGGGAUUGCUUAGUACGGCGAGUGAAGCGGCAAAAGCUCAAAUUUGAAAUCUGGUACCUUCGGUGCCCGAGUUGUAAUUUGGAGAGGGCAACUUUGGGGCCGUUCCUUGUCUAUGUUCCUUGGAACAGGACGUCAUAGAGGGUGAGAAUCCCGUGUGGCGAGGAGUGCGGUUCUUUGUAAAGUGCCUUCGAAGAGUCGAGUUGUUUGGGAAUGCAGCUCUAAGUGGGUGGUAAAUUCCAUCUAAAGCUAAAUAUUGGCGAGAGACCGAUAGCGAACAAGUACAGUGAUGGAAAGAUGAAAAGAACUUUGAAAAGAGAGUGAAAAAGUACGUGAAAUUGUUGAAAGGGAAGGGCAUUUGAUCAGACAUGGUGUUUUGUGCCCUCUGCUCCUUGUGGGUAGGGGAAUCUCGCAUUUCACUGGGCCAGCAUCAGUUUUGGUGGCAGGAUAAAUCCAUAGGAAUGUAGCUUGCCUCGGUAAGUAUUAUAGCCUGUGGGAAUACUGCCAGCUGGGACUGAGGACUGCGACGUAAGUCAAGGAUGCUGGCAUAAUGGUUAUAUGCCGCCCGUCUUGAACCACGGACCAAA